ACGUUAGCGGCGGACGGGUGAGUAACACGUGGGUAACCUACCUAUAAGACAGGGAUAACUUCGGGAAACCGGAGCUAAUACCGGAUAAUAUUUCGAACCGCAUGGUUCGAUAGUGAAAGGUGGUUUUGCUAUCACUUAUAGAUGGACCCGCGCCGUAUUAGCUAGUUGGUAAGGUAACGGCUUACCAAGGCGACGAUACGUAGCCGACCUGAGAGGGUGAUCGGCCACACUGGAACUGAGACACGGUCCAGACUCCUACGGGAGGCAGCAGCU
rnacentral:rRNA from 1 species